ACCAAUAAAUGAUAAAUCAUCCUCAAUAAAUUCAUAAACAGAUAAAGAAUCGUCUUUCACCACUUUCUUUCUUGCUUUUCCAUUUGAUGGAUCCGAUUUUUUCACCAUUUUCAACAAAAAUCUCAAAAUCAAAUAGAGAAUUUCGAAGCAAAGUAAGGAUUUUUAGGGAGGUUAUACGGUAGAAAAGUGUAACAAAAGAAGAUUUGUUUAUAUCAAACUACGGAGUAGAAAUAUACUCCCCAUUUCUAUCUUUUUUUUUUUUUAAAUUGUUAUUUGUCUUAGCUGGACGGUUAAUAGAAAUUAGCUACUGUAUAUGCUUGCACAUACUGUAUCAAUGUGGUAUAAAAGCAUAUCAAUCUAGUAUAAAAGAGUAUCAAUUAGAUAUAUGGACACUGCAUAUGCAUGCAUAGAUUUUCCUUCUAUCUUGUUAUAAAAGUGUAUCAAUGUGGUAUAAAAGAAUAUCAAUUGGGGUAUAAGAUCCCUCUUUCUUUUUUAAAAAGUGUAUCAAUAUAGUAUAAAAGUGUAUCAAUUGGGUAUAGAAACUGCAUGUGUUCGAUUGGGCCAAUAGCUAAAAGAGAAAAAUAAAUUGGACCGACUGACAACAGUUGUCACAUUUUUAAAUUAUGGGUUAUUUUUUUUUUCAAAAUAGUCCGCCCAUAUCCUUUCCCCAAUUAGAAAUGCCUAGAAAUGAAGGAAAAUAUAGCUGCUUCCAUUUGAGGAAAAAAGGAAUAAUAUCUUACUUUAAUAUAUAAUCCUUCCUGUUUUAAUUUAUGUGAACUAUAUUUGAUUGUACACGAAUUCUUAUCCGUUUUUUUAGAAAAGGCAAAAUGACCUUCUGGACCCCUGUAUUAUGUUGGUUUUGUAAGUUGACACUUCUACUUACAUGUUUGUCAUCUAGACCUCUGAACCCACUAAAAAACAACAUUUUAAACCCUUUUUUGGUGAGU
rnacentral:lncRNA from 1 species